AGAGUUUGAUCAUGGCUCAGGAUGAACGCUAGCGGCAGGCUUAACACAUGCAAGUCGAGGGGUAUAGUUCUUCGGAAUUAGAGACCGGCGCACGGGUGCGUAACGCGUAUGCAAUCUACCUUUUACAGAGGGAUAGCCCAGAGAAAUUUGGAUUAAUACCUCAUAGUAUACCACAACCGCAUGGUUGAGUUAUUAAAGUCACAACGGUAAAAGAUGAGCAUGCGUCCCAUUAGCUAGUUGGUAAGGUAACGGCUUACCAAGGCUACGAUGGGUAGGGGUCCUGAGAGGGAGAUCCCCCACACUGGUACUGAGACACGGACCAGACUCCUACGGGAGGCAGCAGUGAGGAAUAUUGGUCAAUGGACGCAAGUCUGAACCAGCCAUGCCGCGUGCAGGAUGACGGUCCUAUGGAUUGUAAACUGCUUUUGUACAGGAAGAAACAACAUUACGUGUAAUGUCUUGACGGUACUGUAAGAAUAAGGAUCGGCUAACUCCGUGCCAGCAGCCGCGGUAAUACGGAGGAUCCAAGCGUUAUCCGGAAUCAUUGGGUUUAAAGGGUCCGUAGGCGGUUUAGUAAGUCAGUGGUGAAAGCCCAUCGCUCAACGGUGGAACGGCCAUUGAUACUGCUAGACUUGAAUUAUUAGGAAGUAACUAGAAUAUGUAGUGUAGCGGUGAAAUGCUUAGAGAUUACAUGGAAUACCAAUUGCGAAGGCAGGUUACUACUAAUGGAUUGACGCUGAUGGACGAAAGCGUGGGUAGCGAACAGGAUUAGAUACCCUGGUAGUCCACGCCGUAAACGAUGGAUACUAGCUGUUGGGAGCAAUCUCAGUGGCUAAGCGAAAGUGAUAAGUAUCCCACCUGGGGAGUACGUUCGCAAGAAUGAAACUCAAAUGAAUUGACGG
rnacentral:rRNA from 1 species